CAAGACCCACUAACAGUCCAGGUUUUGUUAGUAUCCCCAUUGGAAUAAAACGGGGAAAUACAUAAAUCCUGGACUGUUGGUGGGCCAU